rnacentral:rRNA from 1 species
AUUGAACGCUGGCGGCAGGCCUAACACAUGCAAGUCGAGCGGAUGAAGGGAGCUUGCUCCUGGAUUCAGCGGCGGACGGGUGAGUAAUGCCUAGGAAUCUGCCUGGUAGUGGGGGAUAACGUCCGGAAACGGGCGCUAAUACCGCAUACGUCCUGAGGGAGAAAGUGGGGGAUCUUCGGACCUCACGCUAUCAGAUGAGCCUAGGUCGGAUUAGCUAGUUGGUGGGGUAAAGGCCUACCAAGGCGACGAUCCGUAACUGGUCUGAGAGGAUGAUCAGUCACACUGGAACUGAGACACGGUCCAGACUCCUACGGGAGGCAGCAGUGGGGAAUAUUGGACAAUGGGCGAAAGCCUGAUCCAGCCAUGCCGCGUGUGUGAAGAAGGUCUUCGGAUUGUAAAGCACUUUAAGUUGGGAGGAAGGGCAGUAGGUUGAUACCUUGCUGUUUUGACGUUACCAACAGAAUAAGCACCGGCUAACUUCGUG